AUGGGGUCUUGCUAUGCUGUCCAGUGUGGGUUCAGGCAAUACUCCUGCCAAAAUGCUCAGCCUCCCAAAAUGCUGAGAUUACAGGUUUAAGCCACCAUGCCCAGCCCGUUUCAUCCUUCUUUAACAAAGUCUAUCAUUUAUUAGUAAUUACAAUGGGCCAAAACCCAUGCUAAGCACUUUUUACAUGUAUUCUCUGAUGUAAUCCUCCUAACACUCCUAUGAAAAAGGUUUAAUUUUAUCCUCAUUUUACAGCAAAGGAAAGUAAGGAUCAAAGACAUGCUGUAUCACAGUUGAUGGCUUUCAAUAGGUAUCUCAGCAUGAAACUGCCUUCACCUCAGAAAUACCCAGCCUCAAAAGCAUAUUCAAGCAGUUCUUCAUGACUCCCGUAAAUCAAGCUCUCAUCAUUGAGCCAUGGGAGCAAAUGAAUAUUCUCUUUUAAAGAGUGAACAAGCAAAUGCUUGGAAUAAAAAGAAAGAAUUACAUUGAAUCUUUUAAAAGACUCAGUUUUCCAACCUGGGCUGGCUAAGCAGCAGCCUGAAGGAACUAAGACAGCCCUGCAUGACCUGGCCGCUGCCUGCUAUUCCAGGAUUCUCUCCUGCAGCUUCUCGCCUCGUUUAUUCUCUAGUAAUGCAGAAUAGCAUGUGGCUCUACCCAUGUUCUGACAGACUGAAUAAAUACUGAAAGAAUGCUUUUUUUGUGUAUGUCUGAGCCUUUGUUCCUUUUGCUCCCUCAGUCUGGCAGGUCCUUAUUCAAUUUACCUUUCAAUUCUCUGUUGAGGCAUCUCCUCCUCCUGGAAGCCUUCCGUGGAUAGCACUUCCCUGCUCUGAGAUGAAUGUCCCCCACUCCACAUAAUUAGAGGGUCCUGUGCUUAGCACAGCACUUGCAACAUUGUAUGCUGGUUACUUUCUGGCUUACCUCCCCACCUGGAGUGUGAGCUCUUCCAGGGUAGGGGCCAGGGCCACCUGAGGUUAACGCAAGAUGUGUUAUAGACUACAGCUUAAAUGUUUAUAAAAAAACAACAAGGAAUGCACUCGCAGUCCAGUGCUCUUU
rnacentral:lncRNA from 1 species